rnacentral:misc_RNA from 1 species
AGAAGGUGGUGGUAGUGGUAGUAGAGAAGGUGGUGGUAGUAGUGGUUGUGCCGGUGAUGGUAGCAGUCAUUCGCUCGAACAAAGAGCUCGAGAGCCUCGUGGCGCGAGCCGAGCCGAGCUGAGCCGAGUGAAGCCGGUGAAAGAUCAGAAAGGCUUUUCCUAAAGGCGGCUAGUAUCGAUAUUGAUGAGCAGACGCAAUCCGUCCCGUAGGGAGCAACGGUGUGCGAACGACGAUCAGGGUUUCUCUCAAUCAUCCGGAUUUCAUUACACGGAUAAAGCCUGAAGAAAUUCAUGCGCAUCGACGUAGACCUGAACAAGUGGUCCGAGAGAACGAUCGUCGUCCUCGCGACGACGCCUAAAGAAAAAAAACUCGUACGAAAGAGAGGGAAGGGCUCGCACGACAGGAUCCGUAUCAAUUUGCGACUGUGAUUUUAUAAUCUUAAGGUUAAGCGUAGGAAAAUUGUUCAUUGUGAUACUAAGCUAUAUUAGAGGGUGGAGAUAAGGUGAAUAAGGAUAAGGAGGAGGAGAAAGAGAAGGGGAAGAAAGACACGUGGGUUCGAAGAGAAAUGGAGCGAGGUGGCGCGAUGCUUCUUGCGAAAGAAGAAUCACGCAAAUUCUCGCAGAAACUUGUGAAAGCUGAUUUGACGCGAGACGCAAAACAAAUUUUUACCGUUCGUGAUACGAUCAAGGACGAGAAUAUGGAAAUAGCGUUCCCUUGAACGAUUUAAUAGCACGAGGCUGAUCGUACUUCUUGGGCUAAUCGGUUUUUUUAUUUAAAUCCAUCGAUGAUCCCAACUUGCACAUUCGUAGGUACAUUUGCAAGCCGUUUACAUUGAAUAUUGGAUAAUCUUUUCGUUAGUUCGAUUUUUCGUGGCAAUAGUUAAACAUCGCUGGCGACUAGGGGAUUGUUGUCGUUGAGCCAAAGAGACACGGAAUUUCUAUCGUUGUGUUUAUAGCGUAAAGGAAUGCGAUAAAGAAGGCAAAAGUUAGACAAAGAGGCUGGAUAAUUCGUCGCGUAGGACGGAAGAGAAGCGAGUCUCGGAGCGCUCAAGAGGUCCUGGAGGGAAAGUAGAGACGAAAGAUAUAGGAAAGAAAGAGGAAGGUUUCGAAGGGGUAAACCGUGAUACUUGUACCACCCCCUGGACACGGGGGGUGGGACAGAAAUAUUGUCAGCGUGGGUGUCGGUGGUGCAGGGGCGCGCCUGGCCCGUCGGCUCGCCCGCAGAUUAGCACGGCGAUUGUCGGGUACGUCGGGCCCCUUCCGACGUACCAACGUCAGGAGCAACCAGACCGCAAUCACCAGCACCGGCACCGGCACUGGCACCGGCACCGGCACCGGCACCGGCGCCGGCACCGGUACCACUAUCAACAGCGCCGUUCUGGCGACCUCGGGGGGCUUCGCAUCGGCGGCGGCGGUGGCCGUGGCACCGACGGGAGACCAACUCGCAGCCUCUCCCGGCUCGGUUGCCUCGCGCCGCGUCACGCCGAACGGUAACGCUGGCAUUGACGUUGCCGCCGCACCUAGAACCGAUCCUGGAACCGAUUCCGCUACCGACGUUGGACCCGACGCCAGAUUCGACGCUGGACCCUACGCUGGGACUUACGCCGGAACCGACGCUGGAAGCGGGACCAUCUUUCAAGCUUCCUUCGGAGGAACGGCUCGCAACAAGACCAUGUCUGUCAGAAGCCUUCACAGGCGCGUUUCUCAUCCUUGCCAUGGAAUUGAAAGUCGUCAUGCUGCGAAACACGAAAAACGACCGUCACAGAAGCUGGAAACAUCAUGGCCAUUUUCAUUGGAGGGCGAAGGUGGUGGCGGUGGUGGGGGUGGAGUCGGUGGCCGUUCUGUGAGUAGCACUACCGGUGGUGGCGGAGGGGGUGGAGGAGGAGGAGGAGGUGGAGGAGGAGGAGGGGGAGGUGGUGGCGGCGGUGGAAGUGUCGGUGGUCGACGUGCACCGAGUCUACGAUUGGUAAAUGGAAGAGCUACCACCGGGAUCAGUUUACACACCAGCAGCACAGAAUCCGUACGUUCGCCUCAUCACCACCUCGGAUGCCAAAGCGCCAACAACAACAACAACAACAAUAACAAUAAUAACAACAACAACAACAAUAAUAAUAAUAACAACAACAACCACAAUAACAACAACAACUGCCACGCCGGUAACAACCCCGCCGCAAACAAUCAUCCAAGACUCAACAAAGAUGACAGCAUCAAGAUUAGCAUCGAGAAUACCAACACUUGUACAGACAGUCUCGUCACCGCUUUAGACGACGAGGCGCUGCUCAUCACUGACUUCUUGGCCGAUACAGGCAACGAGAUGAAUUACAAAGGCAGCGGAAAAGUCCACUUCGGAGUGGACGAUGUGUCCCUCUAUGGGACGCCGAAAGAGGAACCGGGCCCGGGCCUCCCGGGCCAGGAGGUUAAACAGAGCUUCCUUAAGAAUCAACUUCAAGCCCUCUUUCAGCCGACGGACAACAAGCUUGCGAUGAAACUCUUCGGCAGCAAGAAGGCACUUAUGAAGGAAAGGAUCAGGCAAAAGGCGGCGGGUCACUGGGUCAUCCAUCCUUGCUCCAGUUUCCGAUUUUACUGGGACCUCUGCAUGCUCCUCCUUUUGGUUGCUAAUUUGAUAAUUCUGCCAGUUGCCAUUAGUUUUUUCAAUGACGACCUAAGCACUAGGUGGAUAGCCUUCAACUGCCUUUCCGACACGAUAUUCCUCAUAGAUAUCGUCGUAAACUUUAGAACUGGUAUAAUGCAGCAAGAUAACGCCGAACAAGUGAUAUUGGAUCCCAAGUUAAUCGCUAAACACUACCUCAGGACUUGGUUCUUUCUCGACCUCAUCUCAUCCAUACCACUAGACUAUAUUUUCCUCAUUUUUAAUCAAUUUCAGGACUUCAGUGAGUCCUUCCAGAUCCUGCAUGCUGGACGUGCUCUCAGGAUUCUCAGGCUUGCAAAACUGUUAUCCCUCGUUAGGUUACUACGCUUGUCAAGACUGGUGCGGUAUGUCUCGCAAUGGGAAGAGGUCUAUGCGCAUUGCGAGAACACGUUUCCGAAUGGGUUUGCAGAUCCCCCUUUAUCAACAGCCGGAGAGGCACUACGAGCGUCGGGCGUCACCGCCCCAACCAGACCGAACCAGCAAGAUAUUGCAGAACCUACAAAAAAAACGCACUGAGCGGAGGGGGCGCCUAAGUUCUGACAAUAUGAGUAAAAAGAAGUCCGGUUUCAGCAAAAGCGACCUUAUUUUUAAGUUCCUGAAUAUGGCGUCGGUGUUUAUGCGGAUUUUUAACCUGAUCUGCAUGAUGCUACUGAUAGGCCACUGGAGUGGUUGUUUGCAA